rnacentral:rRNA from 1 species
GGUUCGAUCAUGCUCAGAUUGAACGCUAUGAUGUUUACACAUGCAAGUCGAACGGCAGCACGGACUUUUAUUCAGUAUGAGUGGCGAACGGGUGAGAAUGUAUCGGAACGUGCCUAGUAGCGGGGGAUAACUACAUGCGAGUUUUACAAUACCGCGCUAUUGCUCUUCGGGGGAAAGCGGGGACCUUCUCGGGCCUCAGCACUAUUAGAGCGGCCGAUAUCGGAUUAGCUAGUUGGUGGGGUAACGGCUCACCAAGGCGACGAUCCGUAGUUAUUUGAGGACGACCAGCCACACUGGGACUGGAGACUAUCGGGGCCCAGACUCCUACGGGAGGCAGCAGUGGGGAAUUUUGGGACAAUGGGGGAAAACCUGAUCCAGCCAUCCCGCGUGCGAUGAAGCGCCUUCGGGCUGUAAAGCACUUUUGGCAGGAAAGAAACGGUAUCGGAUGGUCAUUCCCAAAAGUAAACUUGACGGUACCUGCAGAACAAGCACCGGCUAACUACGCGCCGCAGCCGCGGUAAUACGUAGGGGUGCAAGCGUUAAUCGGAAUUACUUAAGGUGGAAGCGCAGGCAUAGUUCGGAAAGAAAGAUGAAAUCCCAGAGCUUAAUCCUGAACUGCAUUUUAACCGCUUCGAGCUAGAGUGUGUCAGAGGAGGUGGAAUUCCGGUGUAGAAAGGAAUGCGUAGAUAUGCGGAGAACACCGAUGGCGAAGGCAGCCCGGGAUAACACUGACGUCAUGCACGAAAGCGUGUACAAACAGGAUUAGAUACCCUGGUAGGCCCACGCCCUAAACGAUGUCAACUAGCUGUUGGGGCCUUCGGGCCUUUGUAGCGCAGCCAACGCGUGAAGUUGACCGCCUGGGGAUAUUAUCGCAAGAUUAAAAACUCCUGAAGGAAUUGACGGGGACUGCACAAGCGGUGGAUGAUGGUGUGGGAUUAAUUCGAUGCAACGAAACCUUACUUUACCCUUGAUAUUAUGCCUGGAAUCCCGAAGAGAUUUGGGAGUGUCGUGGCAAGAGAACCGGAACACAGGUGCUGCAUGGUUGUCAGCUCGUGUCGAGAUGUUGGGUUAAGUCCCGCAUGAGCGCAACUUGUCAUUAGUUGCUACGAAAGGGCACUCUUAACGACUUGCCGGUGACAAACCGAGGAAGGUGAUGACGUCAAGUCCUCAUGGCCCUUAUGGGUAGGGCUUCACACGGUCAUACACUUGUCGGGACAGAGGGUCGCCAACCGCGAGGAGGAGCCAAUCCCAGAAACCCGGAUCGUGAACUGGAAUGUGUUCGCGUAACCCGACUGCAGGCGCCGGAAUCGCUAGUGACCUGCGGAUCAGCACGCGUGAAUUACGUUCCCGGCCCGUAAGACGCACCACCGUCACACCAUGGAGCGGGUUUACCAGAAGUAGUUAGCCUAACUGUAAGGAGGGCGAUUACCACAGUAGGAUUCACAUCAAAGAAGUCGUAACAAGGUAAUUCCCGAAGAUACCUGGAUGCCCCA